rnacentral:lncRNA from 1 species
GUGCGCGGGGACAGGGCUCGGCGCGGCGGGGCGUCCGCGCGGCCGGCCAGGUCGGAGACGCGGACACGGAGAGGCUCCGUGCUCGCGGUGCUGGCCGAAGACGGGGCUCGGGGAAGAGCUCGCGGUUGUGCGUCGUGACGCGGCCACGGCGAGGUUGGUGUCGCAGGCGAAGGACCUCGACGUCGGGGUCGCGGGUGCGGCUCGGCGGUGCUCGGCGGCGUCGUGGCCCGGGGCGGGGUUGACGCGAGGGCGCGGAGCUCCUGAUGGGGCGCCGAGGUCCUGGCCGCGGCCGAGGCUCGUAAAGACGAGGUCGUCGCGGGGCACCGAGGCGGCUCGGCAGUGCUGUGGCGCCCGCGCGGCCAGCCGUGGUCGAAGCUCGACGCGGCGAGGGCAGCGUCGCGGCUGGCCACGGCUCGGCGAAGGUGGCUUCUGGGCGUCAUGUCAGCCGUCGAGGCAAGGGCGCCGUCGUCUCGGGCUCUCGGUGGCGCAGUGGGUGCUCGUCGCGGACAACUCAAGCGCCUGCGUCCCGGUGCGGCCGUGGCAUCCGCGUGGCCGUCCGCGGUCGCGAGUCCGCACGACGCCGCGGUCGCGGAGGACGCCGGGGCCUCGGUGGCGUCCAGGCUUGACGUGAAGGCGUUGUCGCGGCGCCGGUCAUGGAGGACAAGGCGGAGGGCGGCGGCGCUGGGUGGAGGGAACAGAGGACUGCGGCGGCGCCACUAGGGAAGAGCUCGAGGGCGUGGCGGCGGCUGGGCUCUUUAUAGGCGUCGAGGCUAGGGCUUCAGAGUGGAGGCGUUCAUCCUCGGCGUCCGUGUCCGCAGCGGGACACGCGGCGGGAAUCCUGGGCUGGCGCGGACAGGGACAGGAGGGGCGCUGGCGCUCGUGGCCUUUCCACCGAGCGGUGGCGGUGGCGGCUCUACCUGGGAGCGGCGCGGUUCCUAGGGUUGGGGAGAAGGGGGCGCUGCCUCCCUCAUGGGCCACGGCCUGGGCCUUGGCGACUUGGGCCGUAGGUGAAGGGGGACGAGUGAGCUGGGGGCAAGACGCGCUGGCGGGCCGUGGUGCUGCGUCGCUGGGCCUUGCGCGCGAAAGGGCCAAGCAUGGAGGAGGGAGGGCGCUGGUCGCGUGGGCCAAAGGGAGAAAAGAAAAGAAAAAAAAGGGUAGGAGGGGAGUAGGAAAUGGAUUUUGGCCCGAAAGAGAAGGAUUUUCCAUUUACGAACUUGACUCAAGGGCUUUGAGAGAGAAAUUUAAAAAGGGGAAAGAAUCGAGGGGGAUUCGAGAGAGAACUCAAAAAGAGAUUAAGAUGAGUUGCCAUGAAUUCAAGAUGGAUUUAGCGGUAGGGAUUUAGAGAGGAGGUCGACAAGAGAAAAGGUUUGAGAAGGGAAUUUCGGGGAGAGUUCGGAAAGAAUUCAAGGAAGUUGAGAAGGGAUUCGCUUCGCCUUUGAGAUAGGCUCAAAGAAAAUUUGAGAAGACUUCGCUAGGGAUUUAUGCACUCCAAAAGAAACUCAAAACCCUAAACAAGACCCAACUUAAGACGACUCACGAACAAAAUCACUCGCCUACAAACAAAUCUACAUGUAUGCCACGAUUUGUUAGCGGGUUAGGAUCGAGUUAGACCUGAAAACUAUAUGCUUCACACGGUUACAUGAAAAAUUUUAAAAAGCUCGUAUUUUUGGUUUUUUUUUUUGUAAAAAUCCGGGAUGUUACAGUCCACCCACCUUACAGGAAUCUCGUCCCCGAGAUUUAGGCGUUGCUCGGUCGGUGAAGAGACGAGGGUGUCGUUCUCAAAGCCUUUCUUACUUCUGAGUUGUUUCACUUUCAAUGUGAUCGCUCCACAAACUUUUUCCAAAAUGGGAGUGACUCUUGUUCCAAGUGUAUGCAAGGCUCACUUGCAGUCGUUGGGCAUCCAAAUUUUCACAUCAGGGCGAUGGGUGUCCAAGAAUCGCACGGGGUUGAUGAACAUCUGGCUCUCAAAGAGUGCAUGGCAGGCUUAAACGUAGCUAGGGUUGUUGGCUUUCAAUAGCUGUUUUUCGUGCAUCACUCUUUGCAAAAAGCUUUUGAAAGGAAUGUUUUUCGGAAAAACAGGUUUCAUAAAUGGAGUGAAAGCGAUUUUACAAAGUCAAAUGGAUUUUAAAGAGAGCUCAAACUGAAAAUAGCUUAUGGAAAGGGUUGAAAUCAGCGCAAAUUUUGAAAACCAAGUUUAUUUAUUUUAUUAUAAUUAUUAUUUUAAGAUUUUUGAUGUAAAAGAUUUCAAAUCAAGAGACUUUGAAACUCUUUUAGUUUUCUAGAUGAGGCGUUGCUCUCUUUUAUUUGAACUAAACAAACUAGUUUUGAAAAUGAUUAGAAAUCAUUUCUCUCUUUUGAAAGAUAAAGCUUUAACAACAAUAACAUUUUCUUUCAAAACUUGUAAGUUCAUUUUGUUUUUGCUAAUUUUUUUUUUGGAAGGCCGCAAACAAAAUUCUUUUCGCAAUGGUUUUUGUUUAAUAAAACACUGAAAAUUCCUUUUUCUUUUAGGACAAGGUGGAUUUUUAAAAGGAAUUUGGCUCUCGAGAUAAAAUCAAAGGUCUUUACAACAAAACUGAGCCAAAGAUCUUUGAUCUAAAAACCAUUUUGUUGAUGAAAAAGCAAGACUUUUGUUUUUCAGAAGAUGGUUGGUAACACCUUUUGAAAGAUAACUUAUUUUUAAAUAGUUUCAUAAAUAGAGUUUGGAUAAAAUUGAGUUGAGAAAAGGGUUAAAAUGGCUCUCUUUGUGAAAAUGAAAGAUAUUAAGAGAGUUUUGAAACACUUUUCCUUUUGAAACAAGGAUGCUUUUGUUAGAGAGGGGACAUUUUAACCAAAAGGAGAGAAAAUUUUGAAGACAGGUUCAUUUUGGAAGCCAAAAACAGUUUUGAAAUAGGCGAGCAUCACAUGAUGCAACAGCUUUACCUAACUUUUAACUUUGUUAGUCAGGGCCACCUAUCUAGUCUCGGGACGGUCUUAGGUUUAGCCGACUAGGUUGGACGGAAUCCAGAGUUUUUCUCGCAUAAAACAGGUUCUAUGACUUACACCCAGACAACAAGAAGCAGAAGAAACGCAACAACAUAAGAUCCAAGCACUCAAACAGCAUUACAACUCCUAAUGCAUAGUGUUGACUUGAGGCGACUCACAGACCUUCAAAGUCUCACACAACUAUCGAUCUAGCGUGGGCGGGUAUGGGAAAAGAUUCCAACGGUCAACUUUAUGAAACAGGGAGGUCAGUUAGCAGCAGAAUUCAAGGCGGAGGGGGGAAAACAAGUGUUAGCAUCUAUAACUCUACAAAAGAUAGAAUGUUUGGCUUCUAAACUAGUGUUUGGUCCUAAAGGUCUCGUCCUAGGGUCAAGUAUGGCUCUGAUACCAACUGAAACGACCUAGAUUUUUCCACAAAGGGGAAAAAUCCUCAGAUUCGAAUUAUAAUGUGAUAAUUCAGAUAUUGAGCCAUCACAUUAUCAUAUAUCAGCUGUUAUCGCAGUCAUACAUCGUGAAAAAGAAGAUUACAUCACAUUUACUUUACAACUCUUAGUUAACAAGCCUAUUACAUCGUUUUACUAGCGGAAACACACACGAAUCUUUUUCAGAGUCGAUGUAGCGCGUCAGCAGUGAGGGCUCCUCCUUCACGGGCAAUCAUCAGAGUCGGCGUAGUUUAUCAGCGGGCGUAGCCUUCAUCUCCGAACCAAACUUGAGCGCAGGAACGAGACCACCUAAUCCUUCUAUUCUCCGUAGUUAUCAUCAUAGACCACAUCCAAAACCUGCUAAACAAUUUUCAGUACGAUUUGUACUGGCCACUGGCUCCCACCCUAUGCUUUUGCUUAAGCUUUGUGGUAAGUGGAAUGCAAAGGGUAGAUCAAGAGGCCUAUAUAUAUGGCUGUAGUCUUUCCUAUGCAAGUUCAUCAAUAUUUAAUAAUAAUAUUUCAUCAAGUUUUAUUCCAUCUCAUCCACACAUCCAUCCAUCCAUCCCAUCACACACAUCUCACCACACUCUCACUCUCUAGGCGGCAAGUACGACUCCCGCUCGUGCCUUGCCUCAACGGCCAACGCCGGAUCCAACACAAACCCAGGGGAAGGUAGAAAGGACUCCUCUCACUAGUCAAGCGAAGCGGAACAUAGGAAAGGUCCAUAGCCGAGAAGACGGCAUAUGUAUCGAUCGAUCAACCAAACUCUGCAGAGGUUUACACUAACCACAAGAUCACCAUCAUCGACGAACCGGCUCGUCUAGGCUGAUACCGGGCUGCCUUCCAACUAAAUACGAUGCCACCCUACCACUCAGGACUGGGGCCAUACCGGAGUACCACCGGCAUGCUGAGACUGUGAGGCGUAGUACCGGGCCCCCAAGGGUCACUACGCUGUCUUAGGAGGGUGUGGGUCCUCAUGCCCGUACCUCCCUACACUAUCCGCUAUCAACCUAGUAGUAGUGGCACCGCACUAGCUGGUCGUACAUCCGUCCCGCACCAUAAUAAGGCGAGUGGCGUGUAAGGCUUCCUACGAACCGGUUCUCAGAACAUCUCAGUCCUUAGGGUAACCGAACAGGACAUCUUCACGAGGGGCCAGCCGAUGCCCCUCUCGACGGGACACCCGGCUACCCCGUGCUAAACAGCACCUCCCAUCCCGGUGCUUCGUCCCACGAAGACACUCCACUCCGGGACCUCUCCCUGUCACAUGUACCCGCCACAGGUAUCUCUCAUGGAGAACGCCCAGGUAGCGUUCCCCGGCAAGACUUGUCCCAAGACUCGUCGUAAAUCCUGCUCGGUCGACUCAACCCUCACCACACACCCAAGACACACGCCAAGAUCUCCCCAUAUCCAUUAUCCAUUUCUUAACCAGUUAUCGGCACACGUGCCUUAUCCACUCACAUCCAAUCCUCCACAAUGCAUCACAUCACAGAUAUAAUGCGUAGUAGAAGCAGUAGCAAGUAGUAUGCAAGCAUCUAACCUAACAGCGGGUGUGCGAGGGUUAUAGGUUGCAACAAGGCAAUGGCUCACAAGCAUUUCUACCAUGCAACCUAUCAUAGUUCAUUUGCAUAAAAGUAAAGCACUAGCAUCUAUAAUAUUGCAUGUCUAAUAGGAUUCUACGAGGUUGGGUGGGACGUGGCACCUGUCGAGUGACAUUUCCAGGAUCCUCAGUUCACUUGUAGUUGUACUCAUCCAAGGUCUUUCUCCUAUCUGCAUGUCCUUCCUUCGACUGGUUCCGAUUCGAUCAUCGCUAACCGAAGCAACUACCUCGUAAACGACAAUCAAGGCGAAACAAUCAAACCACUAGACCUAGAAAGAUCAUGAUAAGAGGCGACAAAACACUGAAGAACAACUACACUAAAAGAGCACCGAAAGGAAAACAACUUAGCCCUCUCGGCGGAUGUCCGAUCCCUGGGCUAAAAGAAACGGGAAUGGUUGUUCACUAAGUACAAGCCAGAGUCUUAGCCUAGCCGGUACUUCCCGGGUUAACUGAGUCAACCUGUACGGCUUUAUUAAAUGGCUUAGACUCUAACUCAUUCUAAGCAAACACCACAACUUACAGUCUUUCGAUCCAAGUGUCAUAGAGAUCGACAGGAAUCGAAAAGGCUAUGAGCACGGGAAGUUCCGGUCUCUCUCAAUCCAUACGCCAUUGUAGUUGGCGAGAGCCAAGAGAGGGUGGAACAAGGAGAGAAGAAAAAGGGAAGUGGUCUACUCCUUCCAAUCCACUUGCCAUGGUAAUAGACGGGGUAAUCAGAAAGAGUGACAUACAAGAACACGAGUGCUCAAACUACUUGUAGGGUACCACAACCUAGGUACACUGAAUGCACUAAGACAUCCCUAGGGUUCUUAGCAGUGCGGUUGUCACCACGAGAACCAAAGAAAUGCUACGGUCGAAUAGGUACAAGCAUACAAGAGUUUAAACACAAAGAACCAAAAAGGCGGGAAAAGACACGGGUUUCACUUCCUAUUGAUCCACUUGCCAUAGCAACAGCGGGAAUCGUAGAAAUGGAAUCAAAACACCAAACAAACAAAAGGGCUCAAUCCACAUAUUACUGGAUCUACAGGGAUUGAGAACAAGAGAGAAGAGGAAUGGAGUCCAUACUGUUUCGACCAACUCAUCAUGGAAUGAACGACGGUUGGAUGAAAGAGAUACGACCCCACGAUCCAACCCUACUCGUAGGGUACCACGACUGUGCAUCUAAUCAGCACACGGCUAUUCCUAAGGCCCGUAGCGAUGCGGUUGUCACCGCUAGGUCCGAGGGAAUGCUAUAGUCGAAGUGGUGCAAGCAUACGAGGUGGUUAGGAUAAACACGCGAGAAAUGGGGUAAAGCCGGAUGGUCAUGGCAAGGUGGACUUGCGACCAUUAGCUUCACCCAACGAGUUGGCUUCUGACUGUUCUACAAGGGUUGCUCCUAAUCUGUAUCCCACUAGACUAGAUCACAGAGAACUCGAAGGUGCGGGUAAGAACCGCGUCGUUAUGAAUAUCGAGUCCGCAAAGAUCAAACCCCAGGGACGAGGAUAGGAGCUAACAAGCGUAGCGUGACGAAGUCAACUAAACACGGGGAGACGAGUUACGCUCGGCAUCGCGAUCACGGCGGGACGAACCCACGAUCGAAAUGAUCAAACGCACUACCACUUCCCCGACCGGCUCGAAGGCUCAGUCCUCAGGCAAAUAACAAAAGAAAGAACGACGACAACCCGAGAAGGGAUAUGCUUGGCACUACGACCAUGGCGAGACAACUCGCGAUCGCAACAUUCAAACACAUCACUCUCUCAACCGGCUCGAAGGCACGGUUCACAACCAACCAACCACAUGACACAAGAACCAACGCACAAAGAACCACAAUGCCGCGACCAACACAAAGACAAAGUAGAGUAGCACAUUUCCAUAGCGACCAACAGAGAUAGAUAAACGGAUAGAUAAACAGACCGGCACGAAGGCACGGCACAGGCAUAGAAUAAAUAAUUCAUGUAUCGACAAGUAUAGAUAGAUGGAUAAAGAUGAAUCAUAUAGCAAGUGUAUGAAAGCAGAAUAGGGUUUUUGUUGGCAUCGGGAAUGACGCCAACUAGGGUUCGGGGCUCGACCUUGGAGCCGAUGGGCUGUGGUAGCAGCUGUUGUUCUUCGGAUGCAGCGAAGUGGUGGUCAUGCUUGGUCGCGCGGCUUCGUCAUUGGCCGGUGCUCGGCAAGGUGUUGCAAAGGCGAUCAGCGGUGCUGCGAGGUUCCACUCAUGGUAGCUCUAGCGUUGCGGCUUCCAUGGGAAGGUGCAGCAGGUCCGAGGCCUCCCUGUGACAGUGGUUGAACACGGCACCCAGGCCGACUGUUAGCCAAGAACCACGGUAUGGUCUUCAGAACGGAAAGAAAGGUAUGGCCUUGGCUUGAGAGCUCACCGAUGACAGAGAAGGGCUUGGCGAGGACGAGGCGAGCACGGCACUGACGAGGGGAACUGGUGGGGGCGCUGCUCGACGUCGUGGCCGCAGGGGUGGUGCUUGGCGCUCGGGUUCGCGGUCACCACGGGGUUGCUGGGUCACGACCAGCGCUGCGGACGACGGUGUCGUGGAGGAGGGCUCGGAGCAGAACUCGGUGAGGACGCAGCGUCGCGGGGUCGGGGCUCCUGCUCGGCGAGGGCGCGGAGAUCCUACUCGACGUCGAGGUAGAGGCGCGGCUUGACGGCGGCGGGUGCGCGGGGUGGUGCCGAGGACGAGGCGUGUCGCGGACACGGCGUCGCGACGGCGGUGCGCGGGGACAGGGCUCGGCGCGGCGGGGCGUCCGCGCGGCCGGCCAGGUCGGAGACGCGGACACGGAGAGGCUCCGUGCUCGCGGUGCUGGCCGAAGACGGGGCUCGGGGAAGAGCUCGCGGUUGUGCGUCGUGACGCGGCCACGGCGAGGUUGGUGUCGCAGCCUCGGCCCUUGGCGAAGGACCUCGACGUCGGGGUCGCGGGUGCGGCUCGGCGGUGCUCGGCGGCGUCGUGGCCCGGGGCGGGGUUGACGCGAGGGCGCGGAGCUCCUGAUGGGGCGCCGAGGUCCUGGCCGCGGCCGAGGCUCGUAAAGACGAGGUCGUCGCGGGGCACCGAGGCGGCUCGGCAGUGCUGUGGCGCCCGCGCGGCCAGCCGUGGUCGAAGCUCGACGCGGCGAGGGCAGCGUCGCGGCUGGCCACGGCUCGGCGAAG